CCACCGUGAGUUAGGAAUAACGGCUGGAAACGGUCGCUUAAUACCAAAUACGCUCCGAUUUCAACUUCGGGGGAAAGGUGGCCUCUGCUUGCAAGCUACUGCUCAUGGAUGAGUCCGCGUCCCAUUAGCUAGUUGGUGGGGUAACGGCCCACCAAGGCGACGAUGGGUAGCCGGGUCUGAGAGGAUGACCGGCCACACUGGGGACUGGAACACGGCCCAGACUCCUACGGGAGGCAGCAGUGGGGAAUAUUGCGCAAUGGGCGAAAGCCUGACGCAGCGACGCCGCGUUGAGGGAUGAAGGUCCUCGGAUCGUUAAACCUCUGUCAGGAGGGAAGAACCGCCACGGUGCUAAUCAGCCGUGGUCUGACGGUACCUCCAAAGGAAGCACCGGCUAACUCCGUGCCAGCCGCCGC
rnacentral:rRNA from 1 species